rnacentral:lncRNA from 1 species
ACUCACCCACCCAACUGCCAAGGAAUCCUGUCCACAGAUGGGGAAACUGAGGCUUUCUGGAAUCUUCUCUAAGUAUUAUUCUAGAUGUUGAUGGCUCAGAUGAGGGUCUGCCACAUCUCCCCUCUUGCUUGGUGGAAAGACCCACAGAGCCACCGCAUGCUUCCUUAUGGGACGAGUAAUGACUAGAUGCUUGUGUGGGUUCCGAGACCCUCAGGGGAACCUGGAGAUUUGAGAUUAGCUUGACUUUACCUACAUUUAGUGGACGCUACCUAGUCCAACAGUGGCCAUCUGCACACUGAAGAGGCAGAGAACCUAGUAGCUGCGUAGCUGCAGUACAGUACAAGAAGCUGGGAGCCCCAGAAUGAGAGAGAACAGUGAUUCAGCCCCAGGUUCACGGCCUGGGUUUUCCCUGGGAGCCACUGAUGUGAGUCCACGUAGCUGUCGAAGCACUUGCUGCAGAAGAUGGAGUCUGUGCUUGCUGGCUGGCAUUCUUCUCUUCAGCCUUUGGGACAGCACUGCCCACAUCCGCCCGAUGUGAAGACGGAAGGGAACACUGCCUCCCAGUUCUGCGGCACCCGCUUCCCGGGGUCUCCUGAGGACACCCAGAUCCUGGCAGAGUACCCAUCCUGUUUCUCGGACCUUCCUCAUCAGAUGUCCUCUUGUACCUACUAUGUGCCAGAUUUCCUCCACUAGAAGUGCCUACUGUGUGUGCAGAGUCACAGGAGGACCCUCAGUCACAGACAUGACAAGGUUACAGUGCCAUGCUUCUAGGCCUCGCCUGUCCUCAGACCCCACAAUGUAGCCUGAUGAAGAAGACAGAACACAGCAUGUCCAAUCACGCCCCGCCGACGAAAUGCAUUGUGAGGAUGUUGGGUGCAUCGUCCUAGAGGGUGGCUCUGUAACCUACUGGAGACCAAAAGGGUCCUCUCAGCAAAGAAGGGGCUCAGUUCUCCACCAGACCCUUCUCAUGGACUCAUUGGCCACUCCCUGGAUGCUGGCAGAGGAGCUGAGAGACGGCACUCUCUGUGGGCCCUGGCCUCAUCUGAUGGAGGAUGCUAAAGGAGCCAAGGCAGCCUUUCUCUUCUGCUGAGACCGUCUUCAGAGCCGCCUGCUCAUAUCAUAAAAGGAGCCAGUGGCUCUGCCAUCCAUCUA